GACGAACGCUGGCGGCGUGCCUAAUACAUGCAAGUUGAGCGCUGAGGGCUGGUAUUUGUAGUGACUGGAUGAGCAGCGAACGGCGGAGUAACGAGUGGGGCGUCUGCCUUUGAGCGGGGGACAACGUUUGGAACCGAAUGCUAAUACCGAAUAAAAGCUUUAAACACAGGUUGUAAGUUGUAAAGGUGAACUUUCUUCACUCAAAGGGGAUCCAGCGUCUUGUUGGCUAGUUGGUGGGGUGAAGGCUCACCAAGCAGAUGAUACACGGCCGCCCGGCGAGGGUGGUCGGCCACCUUGGGACUGGGACCCGGCCCACACUCCUACGGCAGGCAGCAGGCGGGAAUCGUCGGCAAUGGACGAAAGUCGGACCGAGCAACGCCGCGUGAGUGAAGAAGGUUGUCGGAUCGUAGAACUCUGUUUGUUGCGAAGAACGUUGGUGAGAGUUGAAAGCUCAGCAAGUGACGGUAACUACACAGAAAGCGACGGCUAACUACGUG
rnacentral:rRNA from 1 species